AGAGUUUGAUCCUGGCUCAGAUUGAACGCUGGCGGCAUGCCUUACACAUGCAAGUCGAACGGCAGCGCGGGGCAACCUGGCGGCGAGUGGCGAACGGGUGAGUAAUAUAUCGGAACGUACCCUGGAGUGGGGGAUAACGUAGCGAAAGUUACGCUAAUACCGCAUACGAUCUAAGGAUGAAAGCAGGGGACCGCAAGGCCUUGUGCUCCUGGAGCGGCCGAUAUCUGAUUAGCUAGUUGGUAGGGUAAAAGCCUACCAAGGCAUCGAUCAGUAGCUGGUCUGAGAGGACGACCAGCCACACUGGAACUGAGACGCGGUCCAGACUCCUACGGGAGGCAGCAGUGGGGAAUUUUGGACAAUGGGCGCAAGCCUGAUCCAGCAAUGCCGCGUGAGUGAAGAAGGCCUUCGGGUUGUAAUGCUGCNUUUGUCAGGGAAGAAACGGUGAAGGCUAAUAUCCUUUGCUAAUGACGGUACCUGAAGAAUAAGCACCGGCUAACUACGUGCCAGCAGCCGCGGUAA
rnacentral:rRNA from 1 species